rnacentral:rRNA from 1 species
CUACGGGUUGCAGCAGUGAGGAAUAUUGCACAAUGGGGGGAACCCUGAUGCAGCAACGCCGCGUGGAGGAUGACGCAUUUCGGUGUGUAAACUCCUUUUAUAUGUCAAGAAAAUGACGGUAGCAUAUGAAUAAGCACCGGCUAACUCCGUGCCUGCGGCCGCGGUAAUACGGAGGGUGCAAGCGUUACUCGGAAUCACUGGGCGUAAAGGACGCGUAGGCGGGUUGGAAAGUCAGGUGUGAAAUCCUACAGCUUAACUGUAGAACUGCACUUGAAACUUCUAAUCUAGAGUAUGGGAGGGGGAGAUGGAAUUAGUGGUGUAGGGGUAAAAUCCGUAGAUAUCACUAGGAAUACCUAAAGCGAAGGCGAUCUCCUGGAACAUUACUGACGCUAAGGCGUGAAAGCGUGGGGAGCAAACAGGAUUAGAUACCCUUGUAGUC